CGGCCGCGUCGACCGCUGGCGGCAUGCUUAACACAUGCAAGUCGAACGGAGCACCCCUGACAGAGGUUUCGGCCAAUUGAUGGGAAUGCUUAGUGGCGGACGGGUGAGUAACGCGUGAGCAACCUGCCUCAGAGUGGGGGACAACAGUUGGAAACGACUGCUAAUACCGCAUGAUGCAUCGGGGUCGCAUGGCUCUGAUGCCAAAGAUUUAUCGCUCUGAGAUGGGCUCGCGUCUGAUUAGCUAGUUGGUGAGGUAACGGCCACCAAGGCGACGAUCAGUAGCCGGACUGAGAGGUUGAACGGCCACAUUGGGACUGAGAUACGGCCCAGACUCCUACGGGAGGCAGCAGUGGGGAAUAUUGGGCAAUGGGCGCAAGCCUGACCCAGCAAUGCCGCGUGAAGGAGAAGGCUUUCGGGUUGUAAACUCUUUUAAGAGGGAAGAGCAGAAGCGGUAACCUCUUGAAUAAGCCACGGCUAACUACGUGGUCGACGCGGUAAUACG
rnacentral:rRNA from 1 species